ACGAAGCACUUUAUUUGAUUUCCUUCGGGACUGAUUAUUUUGUGACUGAGUGGCGGACGGGUGAGUAACGCGUGGGUAACCUGCCUUGUACAGGGGGAUAACAGUUGGAAACGGCUGCUAAUACCGCAUAAGCGCACAGCAUCGCAUGAUGCAGUGUGAAAACUCCGGUGGUAUAAGAUGGACCCGCGUUGGAUUAGCUAGUUGGUGAGGUAACGGCCCACCAAGGCGACGAUCCAUAGCCGACCUGAGAGGGUGACCGGCCACAUUGGGACUGAGGCACGGCCCAAACUCCUACGGGAGGCAGCAGUGGGGAAUAUUGCACAAUGGGCGAAAGCCUGAUGCAGCGACGCCGCGUGAGCGAAGAAGUAUUUCGGUAUGUAAAGCUCUAUCAGCAGGGAAGAUAAUGACGGUACCUGACUAAGAAGCACCGGCUAAAUACGUGCCAGCAGCCGCGGUAAUACGUAUGGUGCAAGCGUUAUCCGGAUUUACUGGGUGUAAAGGGAGCGCAGGCGGUGCGGCAAGUCUGAUGUGAAAGCCCGGGGCUCAACCCCGGUACUGCAUUGGAAACUGUCGUACUAGAGUGUCGGAGGGGUAAGCGGAAUUCCUAGUGUAGCGGUGAAAUGCGUAGAUAUUAGGAGGAACACCAGUGGCGAAGG
rnacentral:rRNA from 1 species